CCUACGGGAGGCAGCAGUCGAGAAUCAUUCACAAUGGGGGAAACCCUGAUGGUGCGACGCCGCGUGGGGGAAUGAAGGUCUUCGGAUUGUAAACCCCUGUCAUGUGGGAGCAAAUUAAAAAGAUAGUACCACAAGAGGAAGAGACGGCUAACUCUGUGCCCGCAGCCGCGGUAAUACAGCGGUCUCAAGCGUUGUUCGGAAUCACUGGGCGUAAAGCGUGCGUAGGCGGUUUCGUAAGUCGUGUGUGAAAGGCGCGGGCUCAACCCGCGGCCGGCACAUGAUACUGCGAGACUAGAGUACUGAAGGGGGAAGCGGAAGUCGCGGUGUAGCAGUGAAAUGCGUAGAUAUCGGGAGGAACACUCGUGGCGAAGGCGGGUUCCUGGACAUUAACUGACGCUGAGGCACGAAGGCCAGGGUAGCGAAAGGGAUUAGAUACCCUUGUAGUC
rnacentral:rRNA from 1 species